rnacentral:rRNA from 1 species
AUUGAACGCUGGCGGCAUGCUUUACACAUGCAAGUCGAACGGCAGCGGGGAGGAGCUUGCUUCUCUGCCGGCGAGUGGCGAACGGGUGAGUAAUACAUCGGAACGUGUCGAGAAGAGGGGGAUAACCACCCGAAAGGGUGUCUAAUACCGCAUAAAUUCUGAGGAAGAAAGCUGGGGACCUAGGAAUAGGCCUAGCGCUUUUUGAGCGGCCGAUGUCGGAUUAGCUAGUUGGUGAGGUAAAGGCUCACCAAGGCGAAGAUCUGUAGCGGGUCUGAGAGGAUGAUCCGCCACACUGGGACUGAGACACGGCCCAGACUCCUACGGGAGGCAGCAGUGGGGAAUUUUGGACAAUGGGGGCAACCCUGAUCCAGCCAUGCCGCGUGUAUGAAGAAGGCCUUAGGGUUGUAAAGUACUUUUGUUAGGGAAGAAAAGUCAGCUGUGAAUAAUGGCUGAUACUGACGGUACCUAAAGAAUAAGCACCGGCUAACUACGUG